GGUUAAGCGACUAAGCGUACACGGUGGAUGCCCUGGCAGUCAGAGGCGAUGAAGGGCGUGCUAAUCUGCGAUAAGCGCCGGUAAGGUGAUAUGAACCGU
rnacentral:rRNA from 1 species